ensembl:lncRNA
GGAUGAAUCAUGGCAGACGAGAAUAUGGGGAAAAGGGGGUGCAAACGCGGCGGGUGUUGCGUGAUUCACUAUCGCUGGAGCCCCGUCGGACACUACAGACGAUGUUGAGUAAGACUAAUAAUAAGUCUGAACAAGAGAGAGGGACUCCAUGUCAGGACAGGCAGCAGCAGGAUUCCAUCUAAUCAGCGUGAAAAGUGCCCACCAACGUUGCAGACCAGAGGCUGAGCAGGAAGCCCGCUGGUAUUCCAGGGAGAAAAGAAGACAAAUAAUGACUAAAGGUUUGUCAUAAAGAUGCAUGGAUUUCAUUCUGACUCAUAUAUUCAAUUAAAACCCAUAAAAGUCAG